CGAUUAGAUAGUAGGCGGGGUAACGGCCCACCUAGUCGACGAUCGGUAGCCGGACUGAGAGGUUGAUCGGCCGCAUUGGGACUGAGACACGGCCCAGACUCCUACGGGAGGCAGCAGUGGGGAAUAUUGCGCAAUGGGGGAAACCCUGACGCAGCAACGCCGCGUGCAGGAAGAAGGUCUUCGGAUUGUAAACUGUUGUCGCGAGGGAAGAAGAAAGUGACGGUACCUCGUGAGAAAGUCACGGCUAACUAC
rnacentral:rRNA from 1 species